AUUGAACGCUGGCGGCAGGCCUAACACAUGCAAGUCGAACGGCAGCACAGAAGAGCUUGCUCUUUGGGUGGCGAGUGGCGGACGGGUGAGUAAUACAUCGGAACGUGCCCUGUAGUGGGGGAUAACUAGUCGAAAGAUUAGCUAAUACCGCAUACGACCUGAGGGUGAAAGUGGGGGACCGCAAGGCCUCAUGCUAUAGGAGCGGCCGAUGUCUGAUUAGCUAGUUGGUGGGGUAAAGGCCUACAAAGGCGACGAUCAGUAGCUGGUCUGAGAGGACGAUCAGCCACGCUGGGACUGAGACACGGCGCAGACUCCUACGGGAGGCAGCAGUGGGGAAUUUUGGACAAGGGGCGAAAGCCUGAUCCAGCAAUGCCGCGUGUGUGAAGAAGGCCUUCGGGUUGUAAAGCACUUUUGUCCGGAAAGAAAUGGCUCUGGUUAAUACCUGGGGUCGAUGACGGUACCGGAAGAAUAAGGACCGGCUAACUACGUGCCAGCAGCCGCGGUAA
rnacentral:rRNA from 1 species